rnacentral:rRNA from 1 species
UAGAGUUUGAUCCUGGCUCAGAUUGAACGCUGGCGGCAUGCUUUACACAUGCAAGUCGAACGGUAACAGGUUAAGCUGACGAGUGGCGAACGGGUGAGUAAUGCAUCGGAACGUGCCCGGUCGUGGGGGAUAACGCAGCGAAAGCUGCGCUAAUACCGCAUACGAUCUGAGGAUGAAAGCGGGGGACCGUAAGGCCUCGCGCGAUCGGAGCGGCCGAUAUCAGAUUAGGUAGUUGGUAGGGUAAAGGCCUACCAAGCCAACGAUCUGUAGCUGGUCUGAGAGGACGACCAGCCACACUGGAACUGAGACACGGUCCAGACUCCUACGGGAGGCAGCAGUGGGGAAUUUUGGACAAUGGGCGAAAGCCUGAUCCAGCCAUUCCGCGUGCAGGAUGAAGGCCCUCGGGUUGUAAACUGCUUUUGUACAGAACGAAAAGGUUUCUAUUAAUACUAGGAGCUCAUGACGGUACUGUAAGAAUAAGCACCGGCUAACUACGUGCCAGCAGCCGCGGUAAUACGUAGGGUGCAAGCGUUAAUCGGAAUUACUGGGCGUAAAGCGUGCGCAGGCGGUUAUAUAAGUCAGAUGUGAAAUCCCCGGGCUCAACCUGGGAACUGCAUUUGAGACUGUAUAGCUAGAGUACGGUAGAGGGGGAUGGAAUUCCGCGUGUAGCAGUGAAAUGCGUAGAUAUGCGGAGGAACACCGAUGGCGAAGGCAAUCCCCUGGACCUGUACUGACGCUCAUGCACGAAAGCGUGGGGAGCAAACAGGAUUAGAUACCCUGGUAGUCCACGCCCUAAACGAUGUCAACUGGUUGUUGGGUCUUAACUGACUCAGUAACGAAGCUAACGCGUGAAGUUGACCGCCUGGGGAGUACGGCCGCAAGGUUGAAACUCAAAGGAAUUGACGGGGGCCCGCACAAGCGGCGGAGCAUGCGGCUUAAUUCGACGCAACGCGAAGAACCUUACCAAGGCUUGACAUAUACGGAAAUCUGGCAGAGAUGUCAGGUCCGCAAGGGUCGUAUACAGGUGGUGCAUGGUUGUCGUCAGCUCGUGUCGUGAGAUGUUGGGUUAAGUCCCGCAACGAGCGCAACCCUCGUUCUGUGUUGCCAGCAUUUAGUUGGGGACUCACAGGAGACUGCCGGGGUCAACUCGGAGGAAGGUGGGGAUGACGUCAAAUCAUCAUGCCCCUUAUGUCUUGGGCUGCACGCAUGCUACAAUGGCUGGUACAAAGGGCUGCGAAACCGUAAGGUGGAGCGAAUCCCAAAAAGCCAGUCUCAGUUCGGAUUGGGGUCUGCAACUCGACCCCAUGAAGUCGGAGUUGCUAGUAAUCGCAGAUCAGCAACGCUGCGGUGAAUACGUUCCCGGGCCUUGUACACACCGCCCGUCACAUCACGAAAGUCGGUAACACCCAAAGUCAGUGGCCCAACCGCAAGGAGGGAGCUGCCUAAGGUGGGAUCGGUGAUUGGGAUGAAGUCGUAACAAGGUAGCCGUA